UACGUAGGGGGCUAGCGUUGUCCGGAAUCAUUGGGCGUAAAGCGCGUGUAGGCGGUCCGAUAAGUCCGCUGUGAAAGUCGAGGGCUCAACCCUCGAAUGCCGGUGGAUACUGUCGGGCUUGAGUACGGGAGAGGCGAGCGGAACUCCUGGUGUAGCGGUGGAAUGCGCAGAUAUCAGGAAGAACACCGACGGCGAAGGCAGCUCGCUGGGACGGUACUGACGCUGAGGCGCGAAAGCGUGGGGAGCGAACAGG
rnacentral:rRNA from 1 species